rnacentral:misc_RNA from 1 species
GAUGAAGAACGUAGCAAAAUGCGAUAAGUAAUGUGAAUUGCAGAAUUCAGUGAAUCAUCGAAUCUUUGAACGCACAUUGCGCCCGCUGGUAUUCCGGCGGGCAUGCCUGUUCGAGCGUCAUUUCAACCCUCAAGCCCCCGGGUUUGGUGUUGGGGAUCGGCUCUGCCCUUCUGGGCGGUGCCGCCCCCGAAAUACAUUGGCGGUCUCGCUGCAGCCUCCAUUGCGUAGUAGCUAACACCUCGCAACUGGAACGCGGCGCGGCCAUGCCGUAAAACCCCAACUUCUGAAUGUUGACCUCGGAUCAGGUAGGAAUACCCGCUGAGUUUAAGCAUAUCAAUAAGCGGAGGA